UACGUAGGGUGCAAGCGUUGUCCGGAAUUAUUGGGCGUAAAGAGCUCGUAGGCGGCUUGUCGCGUCGGAUGUGAAAGCCCGGGGCUUAACUCCGGGUCUGCAUUCGAUACGGGCAGGCUAGAGUUCGGUGAGGGGAGAUCGGAAUUCCUGGUGUAGCGGUGAAAUGCGCAGAUAUCAGGAGGAACACCGGUGGCGAAGGCGGAUCUCUGGGCCGAUACUGACGCUGAGGAGCGAAAGCGUGGGGAGCGAACAGG
rnacentral:rRNA from 1 species